UGUGAUCUUUUUUCAGCCUGCAGACUGCCUUGUCAUGGCUUGGAAGUGGCCUUUGGGGCUCUUUGCUUGCAGUGGGAAGGCCACGAAGUGACCCAGAUCAUCAAUCCAAAUGCAAACGGGCGUUCAGGAGAGCUUGCAAACAUAUCAAAGAAUUCUGGGCCAGGCCUUUCCUUUCCAUUUUCACUGCAGCUGCUGCCACUGCUGUCAAGAAACAUGAAAACAGGGCAGGGAAAAUGCCUCCUUGUGCGUGGUUUUGGCGUGAAGGCUUAGAAGAGCUGAUUUUGUGCUUACACCCCGUCCCUGGGCUGUUUGAAACAUAAGGCUCACUGGCUUCUGCUGCUCAGGAAAUACCCCCGAACCCACCUGUGGACGCUCACCCCAACCCUCACCCUCCCACCCCCAGGCUCUGGGUUGAUGCUUGCACAUUCCUGCACGAGGACCACCAGCAGGAGAGGGAUUUGCUGCAGGCUGUGGCAGGUUGCCCUGAGAUGCUCUGAGGAAUCGAACUCUUUCACUGCUCAUGCUUUGGAAACUGAAACUGGUCCUUGGAAAGAAGCAGAGGAGCAGACGAAGGGCUGAAUCCUGAGGUUGUGAAGUGCUUUGCGCAUCCCCUGCAGCCAGCCAGCCUCUGCUACAGCAAAGCAAUGGAAUUUCUUGCAAACGUCGUGAUCUAUCUGAUAUUUUCCUGACCUAUCCCCAAAAAGCCAGUCCUAAUGUCUAGAACAAGGAGGACACUGCUGCGCCUGCAUCUCCUAACCUACUGGCAUCCAUUGGCUGCAUCCAUCCGUCUCCCUGCGCUUUAUCAACAUCUCCAGCCUCUGUGCCACGAGGGGAAUGUCAUCGGGUUUUUAUCUCCUUUCUGCUCUGGGCUUAUCAGUGAUUUGUUUAAUUCGAGUUUAUGGCUUCCCUUGUUCAUUUUGUCACUCGGUUUCCUCAAUCCCGAUGGCUGCCGAAAGGAGACAAUGAAAUUUUAAAUAAAUAAAUAAAUG